ACCCUCCAGUUCUUUUUCCCAUCAGAUCUGAACACAGGUCUUUGGCGUCGUAAAAGGGGGGUAAGUAACACUGAAGUUGGCCUCACAGCUCUGUAUGUAGUGUGUGAGCCAGUUUCAAACAAGG